CUUUAAAGAGCACCUAUUAUGGGAUACACGUUUUUAAACAUCAUUUUGUGUGUAAGUGUGUAUUAGUACAUGCUAACGAUAUUCAAAAAGUACAUACCUCAAAGAAAACGAUGACGCGAGUUAUCGUCUCUAACGUUCGAGGACUACAAAAAACACUCGGAUUGUAGGCAACAGUUUACUUCCUGGGAUUAGUGACGUAGAUAAGACCAACAUUAUCAUAGUUCAGCCCUCUCUGCUUUGCUUGGGUACGCCCUCAAAGACGGGGGUGGGGAGCGCCGAGUCAGAAGAGAGCUAAAAUGGCGGAGGUUGGGAGUCCCUGCAUUGACUCUGUUUGCAAACUCUUGUUUCAUUGUUUAAGCGAUUAAAUCUCUCGAGUAGACGCUGUCUCUUUAGAUGCGAGGGCAAAAUAGCACUUUAUGGACUUCCACAGAGGACAUCAUGUUUAAUACGGUUCCGGAAAAAUCCAGUCAGAAGUUGUUCACAGAGUUUUCACAAUAACUGCUUCUCAUGAACCGAAGCUGGACGUCUCCUCCUGAAAGUUGGAUUAACGUUACUGUGCACUUCUGGAUCACAGGCUAUUCGCAGCUGGACACAUCCUUCUACACUGUAUGCAAACAUGCAACAUCAUAACACACAGUACAAGGAGUCAGACUGGCAUAUGAGGAGCAAAGGAACCCAGACAGUAGCAACGUUUCACAAUGUUUCCAUCACCAUCAUCAGUGGAUGCCUUUGCCGUCCGUAGCCUGAGAUUUCAGAUUUGCAGCAAAAAAAUUUGAUUUUCUCAUUUAUUGGAAUGCUGUGCAGGUAUUUGUACCUUGCAGCCAUCCAUUACAAUGUCACCAAGCCGUAACAAAAGCAGGAGAGGGAAAGUACAAGGCUAUGUUCCCAAAACACACAAAUGACAUACCGCUUGUGUUUGCUGAGGUAUUUGAAGAUAAGCUGAAGGAAACCCCGAUUCCAAUGGACCCGGCAUCACAGUUUGAGAGACCUUCAAAGGAGGACGUGAUUGCAUGCCAUCUUCAGUGCAGGGGUCGUCGAAAGCCAAAAU